CAGAGACCUCCGGAGCAGCCUAGAGACCAGCGGCAAGGGGCCGGUUUCCCAGGAAGGACUGAAGGCAGAUAUUUGCAGACAGGAGGUUAAUCAGGGCGUGCGGUCAGGAAGCGAGGAAGUGAGGGCAGGGGCAGCUGAACUGUGGCUCAGGUGCGACCGAAUCCAGCGGGAUCCGCCUGCCACAGGUGGCCACUUGGAAGGAUCGUGCCGUGUCGGGGCUCAGCCCUGGUCUUGGGUGGACACUCGCGGCACGGAGGCUUAGGCCUCUGACCGACGCCCAGCCGCCUGCCUCGAUGGCGACUCCACGAGCCAUUCUCCUUCUGCGCUGAGCGCGCGACCAGACGCACCACCGACCCACUGCCCCAGGCUUUCAGGGCCAGCCCGAGUGGGGCUGGCGGGCGGCAGCCGCCCCGGGCAGCUUGAGGCCGAUUCUAAGCUGAUCCAUCCAGCAGAUGAGCGGGGCCUUCCUCUGCCUGCGCCCGCGGGCCAGGCGACGUCCCCAGCUGUGUGCGGUCCAGAGUGAUGUCCCCAGCUGCGUGCGGUCCGGGCGACGUCCCCAGCUGUGUGCGGUCCAGAGCGAUGUCCCCAGCUGCGCGCGGUCCGGGCGACGUCCCCAGCUGUGUGCGGUCCAGAGUGAUGUCCCCAGCUGCGCGCGGUCCGGGCGACGUCCCCAGCUGCGCGUGGUCCAGAGUAAUGUCCCCAGCUGUGUGCGGUCCGGGCGACGUCCCCAGCUGUGUGCGGUCCAGAGUGAUGUCCCCAGCUGUGUGCGGUCCGGGCUACGUCCCCAGCUGCGCGCGGUCCGGAGUGACGUCCCCAGCUGCGCGCGGUCCGGAGUGACGUCCCCAGCUGUGUGCGGGCACCAACCAGGGGAGGGGCCGGAGCGCCCCUGGUGAAUGAAUGGGGGUCUGAGAUCCCACCUGGAACUGACCCUCGCGCUAUAACCCCGAGGUAAGGUCAUGAAAUGAGGAAGAGAAUGAGAAGAGGAAGAACAGGAGAGUGAUAAGAAAUGAUCAAAAGGAAGAAAAAAACCCACGGGAGGAUGCCUCCGGGGGGUGUCUUGAUAAAGGACUAGUGAGCAGAGAACCAAAAACUUUCUCCACUUGCCUUCCACAUGUCCUGUUUCUGACUUCCCACCUACCUCUUUCCCGCCCCAAGCUCCUUUGGUUCCUCACUUCCUGGACCUCGAAGUGUGGGGGUGUCGCCCAGCCCAGCCCCCAAGCCACUUCUCUUUGCUUCCCACACUCGGUGACAUCAUCCCGUCUCACGGCUGUAAGGGUCUUCUCUAACCGUCUCUGUGCUUCCACGUCCCAAACUUACGUCCCCAGCGCAGCCCUGCCCCGUCCCCCAGACCCGCACGCCCAGUCUGGACGCCCAGCAGGACGCUCGCAACUUAGUGGCACACAGCUAAGCUUCCGGUGCCCCCGGUCUUCCACAUCUCAGUAAAUGAUAACUGUUUUUCCCAGUAGCUCGGGCCAAAAGCGUAGAGUCUCCCUGGACACCCCCUUUCCUCCUCACCCCUUAUCUCACCUCCUAUUUGUGAUCAAAUCAUCUCAGCAACAUUUGUCCACAUCCAGCCGCUUACCACUCCUACAGCAAGCGGCUGGUUUAAGCCACCAUCCACUCCUGUGCUCCUGUCGCCUUGUCUCUGCCUUUGCCCCCCUUCCUUCCAUUCUCCACACUGCAGCCAACAUCGCGCUGUGACACAGAAGUCGAGUUGUGUCACUUCUCUGCUUAUAGCCCCCACCGGCUCCCUGGCAUGCUCCUGGUAAAAACGCUCGCGGGUACCUGGGCCUGGGUCCUGGGGGGGCUGACCUCUCCGCUCCUCAACAGCGCAGGGGAGGCCUUCAUGCUCGCCCUUCCUGCUGCCUGGCACUCUGCCCCACAAGUCCACAGGUUCCCUCCCUCACCUCUUUCAGAUCCCCGGUCAAAUGUCACCUUUUCAGAAAGGCCUUCCCUAUAAUACCUAAUUUAAAAUUGAAGGAAAAAGAUACCUCUCCUUUUCUCCCUUGUGGUAGAUUGCAUGGCGCCCCCCUCAAAAGAUAUAUCUAAAUCCUGCCCCCAGAAUCUGAGAAUGUGCCCUUAUUUGGAAAAGCAUCUUUGUAGAUUUAGUUAAAUUAUGGGUCUUGAGAUGAGAGCAUCUUGGAUUACCCAAGUGGACCCUAAAUCCAAUGACAAGUGUCCUCAUAUGAGACAGAAGAAGGGCCGGGUAUGGUGACAUGCACCUGUUAUCCCAGCUGAUUGGGAGGCUCAGGCAAGAGGAUGCUUGAG